GUCUUGGUUGAGCCAAGAAGGAACAUGGGAUGUUCUCUAAUUGGCCCUGCUCUGUGGAGAGGGAGGGUAGGAGGAAAGGCUAGAAAGAGAAGAGACAGACACAACAGGGAGGAGAAGAAAAAGAGGAAGAAUGACUGGACUUUUGUCUGCUUGGCUGCAUGUGUAUAUGAGCAAGCUGUUGUGUAUGCAUUUGUCCAUAGAGGGUCAAGGAGAAACUUGGUUGCCAUGACAUGGAACAAAGAGGAGUGGAGAGAAAGCUCAGAGGAUAUGAAUAAGGGAGCAGGAGAGAUGGAUGAGGGGAGUGGGGAGAGGCAGGAGAGAGACAGAGAUGGAUGGAGUGAAGAGUCUGGCUGUACAGGGGCACAGCUAUGGAGAGAGACAAUUCACAGAUGCACAGAGGAGAUCCGGGAGACGCUUUGGAAAAAUGACAAGUCAAGAAGUUGGGGAAGGAGGGAUAAUGAGCAAAGACAGAGAGGAAGGAGAGUGUGUUUGUGAGCAAAAGGGAGACACCGAGGCCUAGUGGGAGACAUGGAGAAAAAAAGGGAAGUUUAUAGGGGAGAAUUUUGAGAGGAAAGGAGAGGAGGAGAUGCAACAAUAAGGAGAUUCAGUAAAAUGUUUUGAGAAAAUAACUGUGACAGAAAGGAAAAAGAAACAGACUGAAAGAAACAGACUGUAGUGAGAGCAAGGGCUGUCCAGAAACAAAUCAGGCCAGCUCAGCACGUUCUUCUUCAUCCACCCCAUUUAAGACGGUGGCAUUAUUCUAACCAUAGCCCUAAUCAAUACGUGUGACAGCAUAUUGGUGAUCAAUCAAAGUGCCAGGACAGAAUUGAUCAUGCUCAGUCAAAUGUGACAUAAACAAGGCCUUGCAGUCGAUAUGAUGUUAGUGUAUUCAGUCCGAGACAAACACUCUGUAUCUCAAUUAACUGCUCAUUUUGCCACUGUAUACUUUGAUAAAGAGAGUCAUUUAUGCACACCUAAACAGCAGCAGAGUGAAAGAUGAUGUGUCAGAGCAACUACUGCCCAAAAAAAGAAUUAAGUAGUAACUUGUUAAAAACAAUGUUAACGUCAUUGAAUUAUGUAUACCUUUACACCUUUACCUCACCUUUAUUCAGACAAAAAGAAAAAUACAUACUGAGCUGUCACUUUAAUACGCUUUGUUUCUCCUUGUCAUCUGCAGAGGGGAAAAAGGUAAAUUACUAGAAACAAGAAUUACAAAACAUGUACACCGGAAGCAUUUAAGUUUAAGUGAGUACUUAGUGAAGAGACAAUCAGCAGAGAAACGGGAGCCAGGGAGUUUUUUUCUCUGCAAAGUUAAUAACACAGCACACCACAGCAAAACAGUCAGAUAGUGAAGAGCCACGAGAGGUGCCUUAAUUAUAGGUAGAAGCUAAUUAUGCUAGAUUGAAGUUAUGCUUACAGCACAGAUGUCACCAUAUAAUGAGACAGAAUGGUGCGAGGGUCACGACGAAGGUGCAGAAGGCAGUGGACCACACAUCUUGAUGCUGGGGUCAUACCAGAUCCAGACACGGAUUUAAAAUCUUCAUUAAAGCUCUGAUAAUUGUGCAGCCUAUUGGAUGUAAAUGAGGCUUGAAGAUCGAUACCCCAAUGCUCGGUUCAGUCUAAUGGAGAAAAGAGUGAUGGUGAUACAUGGUUAUAACUAUGCUGCUUCACAUUACGGAUAACCCUUGCUAACCCCGUGUACCCGCUACACCUGCAAUUAAAUGAGGAUGCCUGUGGGAGAGAGCGAGAAAGAGAGGCCCACAGCUCAAAGCACAGAUGCUUCUAUCACAGCUAAAUGAUACUGUGUCUGACCUCGGGUGUAGCUAGCCACGGUGCAUUGGGAGCUCUCGGAGCUGUAAUGCACCAUUAUGAUAUCGAACGUCCAAUAGCUUCCCCCCCUUCUCCUAUCACCACCCCCACUAAGUUCCACACCAACCCCUCUGCUCCUCCUCCUCCCUUAGCAUCGAAUGGGAGAGCGUUAGCGUGAUUUCCAGUAGUUGUGAACCCCGAGGAAAAAGCAGAAUGGCUAAAUUGACCAGAUUACUGAGACUAAUUGGUCCAAUCGUGAAGAACUGGCUCAUUAAGGUGUGUGUGGAGAUAACAAAGCAUGCUACUGGAUGCAGAAUGUGAAAUGUGUGAAUAACACACAUGCAAACACCAUGCAAAGUAAACACACACACAUAAACACAAGCGCACGCAAGCACACCUGGUUUCAGAUAAUUGAGAUUGUUAUUUACAGUGUGGCACAGCAUGGAUUAAUGAGAUCUUAAAGGGUCAGUUCACCCAAAUUACACAAACAUAUUUUCUCACUUACCCCUAGUAGUAUCUAGCCAUGCAGACAAUUUUACUUUUAUUUGUCCAAGUUCUGAGAUAUCCGCCUCUGGGGUUUCUGCCUCCACCUGAAUUCCUAAGAUUUCUUUUCUACCAAAGCAAUAGUCCCUAUGCGACCAUAUCUCCUGGAGAAUAUGUUUAUAUGCAACUCAUUUGCGACAGCAAAAAUGGUUCGUCAGCAACGUGAUGGCACCUGGAUUACAUUUUUUAUCAACAUAAUUAAGACACAUUAAUUAAUGUAUCUGGCAAGUUGCAAAAAGUUGUUAUAAAAUGUUUGCUGACAAUGUGCUUACAUUUUUGCCAAUAUCCUCUCUUGAAAUACAAUAUUCUUGCCAAGCAACUAUAAUCUGGUGGUCUUCAAUACUGUAAAAAGUGACUGGAGCUACAUGGUGUGUUUACCUAAAUAGCAUUUAACUAAACAGCAAUCUUUUCCAAACCCGAACUAACGUACUUUUGUUGUCUAACACUAAUAACACACUGACCUCAGGAUGUGAAUCCUGGUCUCUGGUGCCGUAGUCCUGUACUUCGUACACCCACCAUCCAACCUGGCCACCUCCCUGAGCCUCUCUCUGGUAUGAAAAUAUAACACUUUGUUCCCACCAAACAUAAUCUUGGCAAGACUUACAUUUCCUUCACUACUAGUAGUAUAGUAGUUUCUAGGAGACAGGGAAGACAGGGAAUAACUGUUCACAUUGUUUCUGGUAACAGUUUUCAGUGUUGUAACCACCACAACAAAACAGAAGAAGAAGAAAUCUCAGAGACUGAUACCCCCCAUCCUAGAUAAAUAAAACUAAAAUGAUCUCUAUGGCUUUAUACAACUACAGAGAAGAGAGAAAAUAUGUUCUUUUAGCAAGUUUGUUGGACUGACCCUUUAAUGUAACAACAAGUCAGCUGUGAUGUUCUGAAAUUUUACAUACAGACAGUAAAUAAUUAAUCUGAAUGAUGUUUAGGGGCAGCAAAAGAUGGCAAUAGAGGGAAGAAAGCGUGUGUUUUGCCGCGCUGAAGGUCUCCAUCGCUUCAUCGCCCCUUCACUCCACAAGCCAUGCCUCCAUCACAGAGUGAGAGAGGGGAACGGACAGCGUUGCCUGAAGCUGACAGAGCAGUAGAGCGAGCAGCAGAGAGAGAAAGAGAGAAAGUGAGAAACACAAAACAAAGGCAGUGGGGGUAGAAGAAGGCAGAGCCAGGUGUGGAGGAGAGAAAUACAGAAAGACGGAGCAAGAGAGCAUGAGAGAGACGCAAAUGCUACCCAGAGAAGUUGUCCUCUCCUCUGGUUAUCCUCCAUCACCCUGCCUGUGUUUUCUCCAUCCCUGUGACUUUCUUCAUGGCCCUUUGGCUCUGUGACCCCUGUGUCGGCUGCCAUUUCUCAGCCCGGCCUUGUCACUCCGCUCCUGGCUCACAUGCAGCCCACACCGGAGGGUCGAGUGUCGUCAGCGGAGCUUGAACCUCACACCAUUGUUGUAAGACAGAGCAGAUCCUGUGACGGACUAAAUGUGACAGUUGAGCUGCUGACCUUUGGUCCGAAAACGACAGACAGAAACCGGCAGCCGGAGCCGCAACGCCCAUGCACACAUGGGUACUCCAUACAUAGAGAAACACAACCAAAGUAACACACACACACACACACACACACACACAUUGUCUGUGUAUGAACGUGUGUAUAAUUUCCUUAAACAUACAGCUGGUUAAAAUGUACCAUAUCCUUUUAUAAAAGAUGGUUUAAGGUAAGUGCGCAAAUUAUAACCAAGUAGUGUGAGAUAAAUAUGUUGUGAUUAUGCGGGAAAAUUGUUAGCUGGACUAUUUCUUGGCUGGGAGCCAUUGCCAGAUCAAAUGGUGGGGACUGUAGGAAGUCCUUGGUAUCAAUCUUCUCAUCAAACUCUCUGCAUGGAAGUGAAUAAGCAUAUUUCCCAAUAUGUUGGGAAAAGUGACUUUUAUUACUAUAGCCUUUUAUACAGACCUCUCAAUCGACAGUCACAUUUGAGAUGUUUACAGCCAUUAAUAUUAGUCUGGAUACAGCACUGGAGGCUGUUCAUUCAUAUGAAAGCUGCUCAGUGGUGCAAAAACCCAAAAGUUCCACUUAAUACAAUUUCCCAAUAUGUUGUGAAAUAUACAAUGACUUAAACUACUGCAUAAUCCACCCUUGUCGCCAUCUAUAAUUGCUACUGUUUAUGAAUGUUGCCAGGUAGUUAGCUAGCUAUGUCCUCCUUCUUAAGUUAAAUUAACUACUAAGUUCUGAUUGGUCAAUUGUUGCUGUGUAAUUGCAGCAAUGGCGUCCAUCAUGUGAUAGACACUGGCCCAAAAAGGCUUUUUCCCAUAAGCUUACAUUGUGAAAUAAGCGGCUGUACGAUGGAUACAGCGUCACAACCCUCGUGAAAUUAUUUGUUUUACUACCAGAAUUUAAUCCAUUCAGUCCAAUAACAUUUUUAAAGUCUAGAAAAUUUGCAAGAUUCAAUUAUUUUUCCCCUUUCAUGCAGGGAUAAACUUGAAGUUAGCUGGCUCAGCCAGCGGAAGUCUCUAGUGUGCAUCCUCUAUGGGCCACUGGGCCCCUUAGAGCAUGUGCAGUUUGUAUUCAUCCGGGUAAUUUCUUUGCAACGCCAGACUCAUACGUAUGGCUGUAAACAUCUAAAUUGUGGCUGUCGAUUUGGAGGUCUUUAUAAAAGGCUAAAGUAAUAAAAGUCACUUUGGGAUUUGAAAAAAACAAACACAUACAUUAUUUUCAAGACUUUUAGCUUCAUUUGAAAAUUACAUCAACAUGAAUAAUGAACUUUAUAUGUUCUGAAUUAACAAUGAACCCAUGCAUAUACACAGCAUAAUGUACAUUAAUAAUCCAUGCACUGUGUAUGAAGCAAAGUUCUUUUUUUAUUAUUAUAUACAUACACCAUUUUCUGUAUCUGGGAGUGCAGAAACCAUAUCAGCCCUGAAAGCUCCACAGAUAGUGUUUGCAUAAAGAGACUCACAACAUUAGAAAGAGAUGUAGGAAGUGCUGGAUGAAGAGUACCUUAACUACAGCACUCAUCGUUGAACUACCAUUUGUUUUUGUAAAUGUCAGUUAAUUUAAAUAGGUUGUAUAAUCCCUGUAGAGUCAUGACUCUGACUUCUCAAUUAACAGACCGUGCCAACACUGGCUGUAGUGAAUAUGGAAAUUACCGGGAUUGGAGGUAAAAGGUUUCUCUGUCACAGCAGCGUUAUGUGAGUUAAGGCAGAAGCGCUCCCUGAGGCAUUUUUUCCCCCUCCGGCAGUCAUCGUUUCCGUUUCUAUCCAUUCACUCUCCUCAGUCACUUACUAUUUUCCCCUCUUUUUUGGCACCUUUUAUACCAACCACAUUUCACCUUCAUUGCCUCCAUCUUUUAAAACACUCCACCUCUGAGUCCUAUUUUAUGGUCUGGUUUGUUAUCUGGCUCUUUAUCUCUUUUUUUUGGGUGACUAUCUCCUUAAUGCUUCUCCUCCUCUUCUUUUUCUUCUUCUGGCUUACUUAAAAAAUAGCCUGCGUCCACUCUCUUCCCUUUCUUCUUUUGCUUUCUUUCUCCCUCGCAGGGGCACACUUUCUCCCCCUCCCUCCACCCCUCCUGCUCUCUUGCAGUGUUUAUUUAAGCAGUUUCACAGUCACUGCACCCUACUCUGACUGUGUCCACUCUCCUCCUCCUCCUCAUCUCUCAUGGACACACUUUGUAUUUGUGUCUCUGUAUCUCUGUAUUUCUGUACUCCUCUCUAAAUCCUUGUCUACUUCUCCUUUACUUUAUCCCUCUUUCCUUUCACUCCUCUUCCUGGUGCUCCCUGCUUCUUUAGACAUUCAGAGAUUCAGAGUUACUUUAAAGACUUCACAGCCUCCCUCUAUCGUUGGAGCUUUUCAGAUCUGAGAGGAGCAGGCAGCAGAAAACUGGGCCAGAUAGAACUAGGCAAAGGCAAGAGAAAAUAUAUCUUUACACUUAGACUGUCUCAGAGACAUGUAAUUGUUAAAUAAAAGGAAGAUCUUUCCAGGCAGCUCGUAAUUAUCAGAAGAGAUGGAUGCCCUCAAUGGGCAAUUUAAUAACCUGGAGAGGGCAGGGACUGUCGGAUCUAGCUAAUGUUUGAAAAGAGCAGCGUUAAGACACUAAUCCCAUUCAUCUCAAGUUCUAUAUUCAUUUUUCUUGUGUUAAUAAUAGCUGCACAAGGACAUGCGAGCGCUUCAGUAGACUCGUCUCUUUUUAGUUUUAAAAUGAGUUUGUAAUGGAAUUAUAGAUAUCAUAUCUCAAAUACCUGCUGAGAGUAAUAACAAUUACAUGAGAAUUCUUCCAGAAAGUGUUGGCUGGAGCCAGACACUUUCAUCAGUAGGUUAAAGUGAAGAUGGACUGAUCUGCAGUUUAGUUAUAUUCUGUUCCAACAUGCUAAUUCAAACUUUCUCUGCCAUAUUAACACUAAUGUGACAUUCAUAGUCAGAAUGCAGAUUUAAAGGGGAACUCCACCAAUUUCGCACGUCAGUCUGUUUACAGGACUACAGAUAAAUUGCCUCAAGUGAUGUCACUUGAGUGGCGGUUGAAAAUGAAAAAAAAUCUGUGGGGCCUGAUCCUUGUCUCUUCUUGAGGCUAACAACUCAAGGCUACAUUAGUCCCUGCUAGCGUAACACAGCCAGCUCUCCCGGAAUAUAAGAAUAGUUAUGUUUUUGUAACCUUAGAGUGAGCCAUUUAUAUCUACAGAUGCUACAGGUACAGGCCAUCUUCCAUGGGGUCCACCAUGUUUAACCACUGUUACUACUGUAGCCCAGAACAGAGAUUUCAUACAUUGGCUCUUUUUCGUGCAUUUUGCCACCAUAUUUCUCCUUUCUGCUUGGAAGGGAGGGUAAAGUGAUGAGUUGCGCUUUGCAACUACACCGCAAGACACCACUAAAUCUUACACACUGGACCUUUAAGUCUUGUCAUCACUGUGGGUUUUCCAAGCAACCAGCAGAGACUUAAGUUAUUGCUCUCAACCAAGACUGUCUGGCACACAACUCCCUAUAAAACCACAAUGUGCUAUUCCCCCAUUUGUGCUAAGCGAAGCUAACUGGCAGUUAGUAGCCUAUAUUUAAGAGGGCAGACAUGAGAGUUUUAGCUUUAGAAAAGCACUUUAGCAGGACUGAGGACUGAACACCUCUUUCUCUACGUCACACUGUUGCUCAGUUUGGCAUCGGAAGCCUAUUUCUGGUCCUCCAUCCAUGCUUUACAAAUGAAGCAUGAAACACUCUUAAGUGACAGCCAUUCAAAUAUUCAACCACUCAUUUACCAGUAAGCUCACAGUUGUUAUUGUAAUUCAUUACAAUGCUACACUAUAUGUGCCUCUACUGCACUACCACCCACCACUACACACAGAAACACACACAUACAUGCAUACAUCCCCAAAGCCUGUCCCCUACAUCAUUCACAGCCCCAUUGACAGCUAGAACACUUUGUAGUUCUAUACAAUCGGUUGUGUACUGCGUUCCGCUCGCUCUCAAGACUACUUUCUAGCCCGGUGAGUCUGGGGAACUGUGUCGUCGAUGACAGUAAUGUAUUCUGGCCCUCCCCACAGGCCUCCAUGGACCUGGCUCCCUUCCUCUUCUUUUCCUCCUGGGACUUCCUUGAUGUUGUGGGAGCUGAGGCCUGUUGACUACCUCCCCACCCAUCCUUUUAUAAUGUGUUUCCUCCCCUGUUGAUUCUGUCUUCCUGCCUUUAUUAUGGGUUAAUGUCUUUUCUCCUAGACCCGGCAAAGUCGGAUCGGAGAAGCUGUAAGAGAGAAACCACAAGGCAGACAGAGAGGAUAUAGUGCAAUAUAGUCUCAUAAAACUGAAAUGCAGAUUAUGUGCUGUAGACCCCGAAUAAUGCCAAGAUUACAUUCCUGCUCCAAAAAUUGGAUUAUGUGACAAUAGCAUGAUUUGGAUUAUGAAAAAGUGGCACAAAUUGGAUGAGCCUUUUUUCAUCAGUGCGUCCCAUUAAAAGCUGGAUAAAUGUUAAGUUUGUGGCAAGUUUAGGGGACUAAAAUGCGGUUGGGUUUAGAAAACUACAAACAAAUGAAUUAAAAACUCUCUCACUUUGUAUCCACCCAUCUGUCAGCCAAAUCUCUGCACCUUUUCAUUCCAUAUGUCAGUGUCAAGUUGCUGUCUGUUUCUAGUCAUUAAACCUUCUUUCUUUUGCAUUUUCUUUGCAGAACUCACUCAUUUGAAUGAAAUUUCAGGACACCAGGCGCUUUACAAUAUGUAAAUGAUAGACUACAGUAUACUCACGCCACAGUCGUCACUCCUCAAGAUUGUGCUAAAUCCAGUUCACACACAGUUUGGACUUUGAAAAGAGUGACAACUACAUUAUACCUGAGAUUUCAGGUAGUUACUGUCAAAUCUGAGUGCAGACAUGGUUAUUAUCUGCAAUGCGUAUUAGAUUUGUACGAGACAUCUAGAAGUUGUUGCAGAUGCCGGUUAGUCUGAGAUAGCGAUAAGAGAGAUGUGACAUUCUCAGUUCAAUUCAUCAUGGUUUCACCGAUUCUUUUCCACCAGUUCUUGCAUUCAACACCCGAAAAUGAUGAAUUUGUUAGACGAAAAAGCUUGCGGUCAAUUUGUCAAGUAAACUAAUGGACAAACACACACCUCUCUUUGUCUGGCUGUUCAGGUGAGGCAUAAAUACUGUUGCUGCUGAAGUCACCAUCUUUUGUCUGAAUUAAACGUUGCUAUGGUUACAGACCUUAAUCACAGCUAUGGCAUUAUUCAUUGGUUAUGGGAGCUAACUGGGUUUACCUGUUCACAUACACACAGUGCGUUUUCAUUCGCCUCUGCUUUGCACCACAAAUUGAAAUCCACUCUCAUUAGUGAAUAGCUUGUCAAUCUCAAACACUGACGGUACAAACGUAGCCACAGACGCACAGCGGGGUGAGCCUAGGAGGAAAAACAGAAGAGAAAACAAACAAUGUAGCAUGGUACAGCCUCUAAAGUAAAUCUAUUUCAUCUUUUUGUCAGCCACUCAUGAUGUUUGGCAUAUAUGCUGUGACAUGAUCAGCUGCCACUGUCAACAAUUUGGUAUUCUAGCAUGAACAAAGAGAGAACAGUGGAGUUUCUAGUUGUGAGCUGUAGCUGGUAAGCACACAGAUGGCCUGUGUGUAUCUAUGUUAAACAAGGGAUAAAUGUUUGCACGGAAGAAGAGGCAUCAGAAGAGUAACGGUGGUGUCUUUUUAUCUUUCUUCAUUCUCUUCAUAUAUCUUUGUACUCCCUCGCUUGUCUGCUGUGGACCCUGUGUUUGUCCUCUAAACCGAAUGAUCACAUUGACACAGAGGACACGUAUACAGACAUACACACAGGCCGCACAGACACAUGGCCACAUAGUGCUCAAACUUUAAAUUAAUUUACUGAUGAUAUGUGUGGAAGAAUGCACACACACAAACACACAAGGACACAGUCAGACACACACCUACAGGGAAACUUUACUCAGCUCUCUGUAUCUUGGGUAAAUCUGUUUGGCAGAAGUUGAAUUUGGCAGAGCAGUUCCUCCACUGUGAAUAACACUGAAACUAAUGAGUUCAUCUCUUCCACUCCUUUUUUCUCUCUGUCUCCUUCUUGUUCCACAUUUGCACUCUUGUCCUCUCUCUUUUCUCUCCUUAGUCUUGCCCUCUGUCUUGAUCUGUCUCUCUCACGCACACUCUCCUCUUCAUUUCUCUGCUAGUUCUCCGUUUCUCUUUCUCUCCACUUCUCUGUUGGCCCUCUUGGACAUCCUCUCUUUACCUGCACAGAUGGUUUCAGUGCCUCCUCUGAGUCUUAAUUAUUCCGUCAAUUACUGUGGGAAAAUGUGCAAUUAAAGUGGACAGUUAUUCUGCGCCGUGUGGCUCUGUAUUUAUUGGGGUUACACCUGAUUUCAGGGGCUCAGGAGUUUUUUGAUGCUCUGUGCCAUCUUUUCCGUCGCUUCUAGGUAUGUGUGAAGGACAUCUUGGGGGAAUUUAUACAUUUUAUUUCCCUAAUCUUUUUCUCUGUAGGGAUUCCCACUAAUGGAUGAAAUAGUAUUGUGAGCAUAUGGCCGACAAACAAUUAGAUGACAUGGCGCAGUAUAUCAAGUAUCUUUCUGGAUCGCUUUACAGCCUACUUUAGUGUUGAAAUAAGAAACCAUGUCAACAUGUACACAUUUGGAUUUUGUUCUUUGUAGUGGCAUUGAUCUGUUUUCUUGAUAUGCCAAUCUCACUCAGACUCACUGUGCUCAUUGCUGGCUUCACAGCAACCCACAGAGAGUAUUUCCCUGGGAAUGAGUUUGUCAAAUCACGAACUGUGGUGCAACCAAACACUUAUGUGCUGCGUUAAUCCGUUGGAGUACUGUUCUAACCCAACCUUCGGGUCCGUGUCUCUCCCUCUGCUCUUCAUUACGAGGCCUUAAUCCUGACAGCGACACUCCACACACAGGGCAGCGUGGAGACGGGCGAACAACAGGAGACCUGCUUCUUCGCCGAAAGCCCAAAGCAAACACUGCAGCUGCUACGGGUGGGUGAUGCUGACAGCUAGAACAGUGUGUGGGGGCUAGAGAGAUGGAGAGAGAGAAAGUCAUAAGUGCUGGAUAUGUAUAUCUAGACCUGUACACAAGUAUCACAAGCACUAGAGCAAUCGAGAUUAGUAUCCAGUGUAAUGACACCCCCACAGAGAGAGAGAGAGAGAGAGAGAUUGAUACAGAUACGGGGACAAAAGGGAAGAUGAGAAGAGGAUGCUUGGCUGACGAGGAGAGGAAAGAAGAGAGGAGAGAAAAGACUGAGAAGAGGAAGCUGGAGAGAACAGCAAAUAAAAGAGAGAGAGAAGUGGAAGGAAGGGGAAGAAAAGAGAAGGAAUACGAGUGAAAGAUUAAUAGGGAGAAGACGGAGAUGGAGGAUGGUGGUGGAGUAGAGUGAAGGGCCCGUGGCGCCACUCUAAGUCAUCCUAACCAAUGAGGACCUGGAUACUGAGAGGGCUUGAUCACAGCAGGCAGCUGCUAGCACAUCAUUUUGAAACCCCUCUCACAUCCCUCUUCCCCCUGUCUUUCCUGCUCCCCUGCUUCCUUUUGCUUAGAUUGCACGUCACUUAUUAUAAAUUGUUUAUUUAUUAAUUAUUUUAUUGUUGGUUUUUCAGUGGCUCAAUAUGAAGCUUCUGUCUUGGCUUGAAAAUGAGAUCCUAGAUCACAGUGGGAGUAAUUUGAUAAAAGGUUAAUUAAAAUAAGAAAAUAACAUUAAAAAAAUCUCUUCUCCUCCUCCUCUUUUUCUCUCCAUCUGUAGACUGGCAGUAACUGUAUUGGGUGUAACUGGGAGCCUCCUCCUCCUGCUCAUUAAUGAAAAGAUGAGAAGGAAGCCGAGAAUAACACAACAUGAUUUGUGAAUAUAUUUCUCUCUAUCUUGAGGGAAUAUCAAGUUAUAAGCCUUUACAAGUUAAUGUUGAGGAACAUUAAGCUGCUGAUGGAAAACAAAACGGGCCUAUCUGCAUAAUGUGUCCGGUGAGCAUAUAUUUACCAUCUUCCAGACAUAUUCUCAAGUCUUUGGAGCCAACUUCAGUCCCAUCACAUUGACUGACAGGCUGACAGUGGCCACAUUGUGUCAGUUCAGUGUGGCGUCAAAAUAAAUCCAUACUAUCACUCAUUGAAGUUCAAUAGUGGAGUACAGAGGCAAAAUGCAUCUCACACUGAUAAUUCACAGUUAAUGGGAAGCAAGAAGAACAACAGGGAACCUUAUCAGCUGCAUGAUGUAAUGUUUACCGGCUUUUUAAUUAAUUAUGAAAAUUAGCCGAAGCGGUAGGCACACUGUGAAGUGAAAUCAGAUCUUUACGCUUAUCGCAGCCUCGCAGCACUCACAGUGCGCUAUUUGAAUGACAUCUCACGCAGAACACACAGUCCCACACACUGUCCCUCACGAGCCAACACACAUACACUAACAAAUACACCUUAGCACACACAGACACAUUUACAAAGUAUCUACAAAUACACAUACACUUGCACAUGGAUGCUUAUAAAGUUCACAGAUUGACAUUAAUGUAUGCAAAAAACACAGUACCACAAAAACAAAAUGCUAUUGAUUGGUUUUUACAGUUUUCAAGGUCUGAAUAAAAUUAGAUUUUGCCCUUUGAUUCUUGUAUGAUGACAGAGUGCUCCUCAUUAAAUGCAUCUGUCAAAAUGGA